CUUUCCGAGGAGCGUUGCAGCGUCCCCAGCACAGCGGGGCGUGAGGCUCGGAAGCCGGUUCCUUCGCAACGACGCUCACCCACG
rnacentral:ncRNA from 2 species